rnacentral:rRNA from 1 species
UACGUAGGGUCCAAGCGUUAUCCGGAAUCACUGGGCGUAAAGCGUGCGUAGGUGGCGUGUUAAGCGUGAUGUUAAAUCGUGUGGCUCAACCAUAUCGAUGUGUCGCAUACUGGCAUGCUAGAGGGAAGCAGAGGCAAGUGGAAUUUGUAGUGUAGCAGUGAAAUGCGUAGAUAUUACAAGGAACACCAAUGGCGAAGGCAGCUUGCUGGGCUUCUUCUGACACUGAGGUACGAAAGCGUGGGGAGCGAACAGG